GUCCAGACUCCUACGGGAGGCAGCAGUGAGGAAUAUUGGUCAAUGGGCUUACGCCUGAACCAGCCAAGUCGCGUGAGGGAAGACUGCCCUAUGGGUUGUAAACCUCUUUUGUCGGGGAGCAAAAGCCGGACGUGUCCGGCUGUGAGAGUACCCGAAGAAAAAGCAUCGGCUAACUCCGUGCCAGCAGCCGCGGUAAUACGGAGGAUGCGAGCGUUAUCCGGAUUUAUUGGGUUUAAAGGGUGCGCAGGCGGAUUUUUAAGUCAGCGGUCAAAUCGUGGGGCUCAACCCCAUCCAGCCGUUGAAACUGGGGAUCUAGAGUGUGCGAGAGGUAUGCGGAAUGCGUGGUGUAGCGGUGAAAUGCAUAGAUAUCACGAAGAACUCUGAUUGCGAAGGCAGCAUACGGCAGCGCUACUGACGCUGAAGCUCGAAGGCGCGGGUAUCGAACAGGAUUAGAUACCCGAGUAU
rnacentral:rRNA from 1 species